GACGAACGCUGGCGGCGUGCUUCAUACAUGCAAGUCGAACGAGAAGCUGACUUCGGUCAGUGGAAAGUGGCGGACGGGUGAGUAAUAUGUAGGAAAUCUGCCUUUAGGAGGGGGACAACAGAGGGAAACUUCUGCUAAUACCCCAUAUGAGCGUAGCUGACAUGCUAUUCUUGAAAACUCCGGUGCCUAAAGAUGAGCCUGCAUCUGAUUAGCUAGUUGGUAGUGUAAUGGACUACCAAGGCGACGAUCAGUAGCUGGUUUGAGAGGAUGAUCAGCCACAAGGGGACUGAGACACGGCCCAUACUCCUACGGGAGGCAGCAGUAGGGAAGUUUGCGCAAUGGGCGAAAGCCUGACGCAGCAACGCCGCGUGAACGAUUAAGCCCUUCGGGGUGUAAAGUUCUGUCAGUGGGGACGAAACUUGACGGUACCCACAGAGGAAGCACCGGCUAACUCCGUG
rnacentral:rRNA from 1 species